rnacentral:tRNA from 1 species
GAAAUAAUAUAAAAUAAAAAGCUUCUAACUUUUUUAAAAAUGUAAAUUCAUUUUUAUUUCU